UGCUUGCUCAGGAGGAUGGGAAGGGCAGGGGACAGUGGGGUGUAUGUGGGCAGGGGGCAGUGGGGUGUUAGCACAUGUUGAGCAAGUCCUGGAGAAGGCAGGCCCCAGGUACAAGGUGAACUGAGUUAGCCAUGGUGCUGCAGAGGCAGGUGCUCCAACAUGCUCUUCAGAUAUGGGCAGCUUUGCAGCACACCCAGAAUCGGGGGCUGGCCUUCAAAAGAAUGUAUGUCAACAGCCACUUGAAUCAUUUUUAAUUUCAAGGCCAUGAGAUUCAUCCUGAGGACUCCUGUCAGAAAGAAAGGACCUUCAGAGUUAAAAGAAGAAAAUACUAAAAACACAACAACAUUGUAGCUGUCAUCCGGCAACAACUGUUAGUUGUAUUAUUAAUCCAAAAUGAAUCAGGAAAAAACAAACAAACAAACAAACAAA